AUUGAACGCUGGCGGCAGGCCUAACACAUGCAAGUCGAGCGGUAGCGGGAAGUAGCUUGCUACUUUGCCGGCGCGCGGCGGACGGGUGAGUAAUGUCUGGGAAACUGCCUGAUGGAGGGGGAUAACUACUGGAAACGGUAGCUAAUACCGCAUAACGUUGCAAGAUCAAAGAGGGGGAACUUCGGGCCCCUGGCCAUCAGAUGGGCCCAGAUGGGAUUAGCUAGGAGGUGGGGUAACGGCUCACCUAGGCGACGAUCCCUAGCUGAGUCUGAGAGGAUGACCAGCCACACUGGGACUGAGACACGGUCCAGACUCCUACGGGAGGCAGCAGUGGGGAAUAUUGCACAAUGGGCGCAAGCCUGAUGCAGCCAUGCCGCGUGUAUGAAGAAGGCCUUCGGGUUGUAAAGUACUUUCAGCGGGGAGGAAGGUGUUGAGGUUAAUAACCUCAGCAAUUGACGUUACCCGCAGAAGAAGCACCGGCUAACUCCGUGCCAGCCGCCGCGGUAA
rnacentral:rRNA from 1 species